AUCAGGAGGUUCUGAGGCGAAACC
rnacentral:siRNA from 1 species